rnacentral:rRNA from 1 species
AGUGAACGCUGGCGGUAGGCCUAACACAUGCAAGUCGAACGGUAGCACAGGAGAGCUUGCUCUCUGGGUGGCGAGUGGCGGACGGGUGAGGAAUACAUCGGAAUCUACUCUGUCGUGGGGGAUAACGUAGGGAAACAUACGCUAAUACCGCAUACGACCUACGGGUGAAAGCAGGGGAUCUUCGGACCUUGCGCGAUUGAAUGAGCCGAUGUCGGAUUAGCUAGUUGGCGGGGUAAAGGCCCACCAAGGCGACGAUCCGUAGCUGGUCUGAGAGGAUGAUCAGCCACACUGGAACUGAGACACGGUCCAGACUCCUACGGGAGGCAGCAGUGGGGAAUAUUGGACAAUGGGCGCAAGCCUGAUCCAGCCAUACCGCGUGGGUGAAGAAGGCCUUCGGGUUGUAAAGCCCUUUUGUUGGGAAAGAAAUCCAGCUGGCUAAUACCCGGUUGGGAUGACGGUACCCAAAGAAUAAGUACCGGCUAACUUCGUGCCAGCAGCCGCAGUAA